AGAGUUUGAUCCUGGCUCAGGAUGAACGCUGGCGGCGUGCCUAACACAUGCAAGUCGAACGGACUUAUAACGAAACCUAGUGAAUUAUAAGUUAGUGGCGGACGGGUGAGUAACGCGUGGAAAACCUGCCGUAUACUGGGGGAUAACACUUAGAAAUAGGUGCUAAUACCGCAUAAGCGCACAGCUUCGCAUGAAGCAGUGUGAAAAACUCCGGUGGUAUACGAUGGUUCCGCGUCUGAUUAGCUAGUUGGUGAGGUAAUAGCCCACCAAGGCGACGAUCAGUAGCCGGCCUGAGAGGGUGAACGGCCACAUUGGGACUGAGACACGGCCCAGACUCCUACGGGAGGCAGCAGUGGGGGAUAUUGCACAAUGGGGGAAACCCUGAUGCAGCGACGCCGCGUGAGUGAAGAAGUAUUUCGGUACGUAAAGCUCUAUCAGCAGGGAAGAAAAAAAGUCCACAGGACUUUGGACGGUACCUGACUAAGAAGCCCCGGCUAACUACGUGCCAGCAGCCGCGGUAAUACGUAGGGGGCAAGCGUUAUCCGGAUUUACUGGGUGUAAAGGGAGCGUAGACGGCUGUGCAAGUCUGAAGUGAAAUGCCGGGGCCCAACCCCGGAACUGCUUUGGAAACUGUACAGCUAGAGUGCAGGAGGGGUGAGCGGAAUUCCUAGUGUAGCAGUGAAAUGCGUAGAUAUUAGGAGGAACACCGGUGGCGAAGGCGGCUCACUGGACUGUAACUGACGUUGAGGCUCGAAAGCGUGGGGAGCAAACAGGAUUAGACACCCUGGUAGUCCACGCCGUAAACGAUGAU
rnacentral:rRNA from 1 species